rnacentral:rRNA from 1 species
CAGCAGCCACGGGAAUACGUAGGGUGCGAGCGUUAAUCGGAAUUACUGGGCGUAAAGCGUGCGCAGGCGGUUGUGUAAGACAGGUGUGAAAUCCCCGGGCUUAACCUGGGAACUGCGCUUGUGACUGCACAGCUAGAGUAUGGCAGAGGGGGGUGGAAUUCCACGUGUAGCAGUGAAAUGCGUAGAGAUGUGGAGGAACACCGAUGGCGAAGGCAGCCCCCUGGGCCAAUACUGACGCUCAUGCACGAAAGCGUGGGGAGCAAACAGGAUUAGAUACCCCCGUAGUCCCUGUCUCUUAUCA